rnacentral:lncRNA from 1 species
GCCGCGGCCUGGCCCGGGCGCUCACCCUCCCCUCGGGGCUCCCGGGCCCAGCGCACCCUGGCCUUGGCCCCAGCGCCUGCGUUUUCCUGGGCGGCCGUGGGGGUGCAGAGCGGGCCCCCCAGGACGGUUCACUGUGUUAACGUCAGACUCGCCCGCUUCAGGCUUUUCAUUUUCCACCCACCGGGUGGGGGACACGCAGCCGUGGCAGUUUGUGGGUCUGCACUGCGUUUUGGGGUCAGCUGCAAGGCAUGUACUUUAGCUCAAGACUGGUUCAUGUGUUUUUCAUGGUUCUCGUGACCUCUGCAGAAGCCCCAGCUCUGGAAAGAAAGAAGGAGCUGUUAAAUCCAGAACAUUUUCCUUAGAAUGUAUUUAUCAAAUCAGAGAUGAAAAGAAAAUGAAGGAACUGGGCCACAAGGAAGAAAAGAAGUGAAGAAUCCAAUACAAUCUGGGUCAUUUCAAACCAGCCACAGAGAACCUGCAUUUGGGGGACAUAUUUCAGGGAAGACACAGCCUACCAUUCAGAAUCCUCCCGAAUCUAUGAGACAAAGUGCUUCGGUGAAGCUCAGAGAUUCAGUUUGGAGUUGCUACCAAAGAGCCAACAAUCUGGACAGAUGGGCCCGGACCUUGGGUUGGAAUGGUCAGGAUUUCUCUAUGAAACCGCUCCUCCAGGGGAACACUCCUCCCUACCUCGAGAUGCUUUCUUUUAUAUGGGAGGCACUCGGGGCGUAUAUACCCUCCCCUGGUCUGCCUCUUGCUGACUCUGACCUGGAGGAGGAAGACUGAUCUGAUUAAUACACUUGUG